rnacentral:rRNA from 1 species
GAGGGGCAGCGGGGUAGUGCUUGCACUACUGCCGGCGACCGGCGCACGGGUGAGUAACACGUAUGGAACCUGCCCGCAGCAGGGGGAUAAGCGGAAGAAAUUCCGUCUAAUACCGCGUAACAACGUUGGGAGGCAUCUCCCGAUGUUUAAAGAUUUAUCGGCUGCGGAUGGCCAUGCGGCGCAUUAGCUAGUCGGCGGGGUAACGGCCCACCGAGGCGACGAUGCGUAGGGGUUCUGAGAGGAAGGUCCCCCACACUGGUACUGAGACACGGACCAGACUCCUACGGGAGGCAGCAGUGAGGAAUAUUGGUCAAUGGCCGAGAGGCUGAACCAGCCAAGUCGCGUGAGGGAAGACGGCCCUACGGGUUGUAAACCUCUUUUGUCGGGGAGCAAAGCGAACCACGUGUGGUUCAUUGAGAGUACCCGAAGAAAAAGCAUCGGCUAACUCCGUGCCAGCAGCCGCGGUAAUACGGAGGAUGCGAGCGUUAUCCGGAUUUAUUGGGUUUAAAGGGUGCGCAGGCGGAGGUGCAAGUCAGCGGUCAAAUUGCGGGGCUCAACCCCGUACUGCCGUUGAAACUGCAUCCCUUGAGUGCGCGAGAAGUAUGCGGAAUGCGUGGUGUAGCGGUGAAAUGCAUAGAUAUCACAAAGAACUCCGAUUGCGAAGGCAGCAUACCGGCGCGCAACUGACGCUCAUGCACGAAAGCGUGGGUAUCGAACAGGAUUAGAUACCCUGGUAGUCCACGCAGUAAACGAUGAACACUAACUGUUCGGCCAGAAUGAUGGCUGAGUGGUACAGCGAAAGCGUUAAGUGUUCCACCUGGGGAGUACGCCGGCAACGGUGAAACUCAAAGGAAUUGACGGGGGCCCGCACAAGCGGAGGAACAUGUGGUUUAAUUCGAUGAUACGCGAGGAACCUUACCCGGGCUCAAACGACACAGGAAUACUUUUGAAAGGAGGUAGCCCUACGGGGUCUGUGUCGAGGUGCUGCAUGGUUGUCGUCAGCUCGUGCCGUGAGGUGUCGGCUUAAGUGCCAUAACGAGCGCAACCCCUAUCGCCAGUUACCAUCAAGUAAAGUUGGGGACUCUGGCGAGACUGCCGGCGCAAGCUGAGAGGAAGGCGGGGAUGACGUCAAAUCAGCACGGCCCUUACGUCCGGGGCGACACACGUGUUACAAUGGCAGGUACAGAGAGAAGCCAGGUGGCGACACCGCGCGGAACUCGAAAGCCUGUCUCAGUUCGGAUCGGAGUCUACAACCCGACUCCGUGAAGCUGGAUUCGCUAGUAAUC